rnacentral:rRNA from 1 species
AUUGAACGCUGGCGGAAUGCUUUACACAUGCAAGUCGAACGGUAGAGGGGGCAACCCCCUUGAGAGUGGCGAACGGGUGAGUAAUAUAUCGGAACGUGCCCAGUCGUGGGGAUAACGUAGCGAAAGUUACGCUAAUACCGCAUACGAUCUAAGGAUGAAAGCGGGGGAUCGCAAGACCUCGCGCGAUUGGAGCGGCCGAUAUCAGAUUAGGUAGUUGGUGAGGUAAAGGCUCACCAAGCCGACGAUCUGUAGCUGCUGAGAGGACGACCAGCCACACUGGGACUGAGACACGGCCCAGACUCCUACGGGAGGCAGCAGUGGGGAAUUUUGGACAAUGGGCGCAAGCCUGAUCCAGCAAUGCCGCGU